ACAAGCCAGGAAGCAAUGUAACCGGAGGCUCCGGUGACGCACACGAUCUUCCCUGCUCCACCGCUCAUUUUCGUUUUCUCUCUUUUCUCGUCGUCUCGUCGUCUCGUCGUUGUACUUGCAGUUGUUCUUGCUCGUAUGGCAAUCAGCCACUGCUGCUUCUCCUCCUCUCAGCUCGCCAAAUAUCUGCCCUCUUUUAAAGCAAUUACAAUGGUAACCGUUCGUGCCUCUUACCUACCAUAAACACGCCGUGCUGUCGUAUGCACAGACGUAGGCAAUGAUUCGGUGAUAAUAUGAUGGGUAAUUUGCCUGGUGCUGAGCGUGAAAAAAAUUUCUAAAUUGGUAAAUAAGAGGCUUAUCUGCUGUUUCUUG
rnacentral:misc_RNA from 1 species